rnacentral:tRNA from 1 species
GAGAGAUGGCCGAGUUGGUUUAUGGCACUAGUCUUGAAAACUAGCGUAGGGUUUCCUUACCGGGGGUUCGAAUCCCUCUCUCUCC